rnacentral:rRNA from 1 species
GUGGGGAAUCUUGCGCAAUGGGCGAAAGCCUGACGCAGCAACGCCGCGUGCGGGAUGAAGGCCUUCGGGUUGUAAACCGCUUUCAGCAGGGACGAAAAUGACGGUACCUGCAGAAGAAGCUCCGGCUAACUACGUGCCAGCAGCCGCGGUAAUACGUAGGGAGCAAGCGUUGUCCGGAUGUAUUGGGCGUAAAGAGCUCGUAGGCGGUUUCGUAAGUCGAGUGUGAAAAAUCUGGGCUUAACCCAGUGGAGCACUCGAUACUGCGAUGACUUGAGUCUGAUAGAGGAGUAUGGAAUUCCUGGUGUAGCGGGAAAAUGCGCAGAUAUCAGGAGGAACACCAACGGCGAAGGCAGCACUCUGGGCCAGUACUGACGCUGAGGAGCGAAAGCGUGGGGAGCAAACAGGAUUAGAUACCCGUGUAGUCC